rnacentral:rRNA from 1 species
UACGAAGGGGGGCUAGCGUUGCUCGGAAUCACUGGGCGUAAAGCGCACGUAGGCGGCUUUCUAAGUCGGGGGUGAAAUCCUGGAGCUCAACUCCAGAACUGCCUUCGAUACUGGAGAGCUCGAGUCCGGGAGAGGUGAGUGGAACUGCGAGUGUAGAGGUGAAAUUCGUAGAUAUUCGCAAGAACACCAGUGGCGAAGGCGGCUCACUGGCCCGGUACUGACGCUGAGGUGCGAAAGCGUGGGGAGCAAACAGG